GAUGAACGCUGGCAGCAUGCUUAACACAUGCAAGUCUUUGGCGAAUCUGUGCUUGCACCGGUUAGCCAAGGCGGACGGGUGAGUAACGCGUAAAGAACUUGCCCUGCAGACAGGGAUAACAGAAGGAAACGACUGAUAACACCUGAUACAAUUACCGGCGCGCCUGUGCGUGGCAAUGAAAAGAGAUGCUGCAGGAGAGCUUUGCGUACUGUUAGCCUGUUGGUGAGGUGACGGCUCACCAAGGGGAUGAUAGGUAGCCGGCCUGAGAGGGGGAACGGCCACAAGGCGAAUGAGAGACGGCCGUUACUCCUACGGGAGGAAGCAGUGGGGAAUAUUGGACAGUGGGGGCAACCCUGAUCCAGCAAUUCUGUGUGCACGAAGAAGGUUUUCGGAUUGUAAAGUGCUUUCAGCAGGGAAGAAGAAAGUGACGGUACCUGCAGAAGAAGCGACGGCUAAAUACGUG
rnacentral:rRNA from 1 species